AAUGUAUCCUAAAGUUUCCCUGACAUUCACGUGCGAGAUACAGUUACACAAGCGACCUCUAGUGGCCUAGAUCCAUCUUAUCGUCUCACCUUUGUGUGUAAAAAGAAAAGCUCUCGUUAUUACAGGAUAGCGGCCAGUACUCGCGCAUACGACUGUGUCUCAGCUUCCUGUUUAAGCCGACAUGGGCAACUGGCUUAUGACCUGGCUAAAGUCUGGACAGACCAGAGAGGAAGUGGAAACAGGUCAGACAAAAGCUCAUGCCCUCCCACGAUCUUCCAGCUGGAGUAAUGUAUUUGCUGUUUAGUUAUUGUUUCGUGAUAUAUUAUUUACUUGUAUAUGUCAAUGCUCUCAUCUGCAACUGUUACUGCCAUCGACUGUCGUAGAUAUGGACACAGGGACAGACUGUCUAACACAACAACAGCUAGUCGCUAAUGACACUCGCAUAUACUUCCACCGUAUGUCUCUACAAAAUGUUUUCACUAAGCUGUCGAUGAGAUUAAUUACCAUUAAUAGUUUCUUUUGGUCUCUAACGCAAGG